rnacentral:rRNA from 1 species
UACGGAGGGUGCAAGCGUUGCUCGGAAUUAUUGGGCGUAAAGGGCAGGUAGGUGGUCUCGUUUGUCUCAUGUGAAAGCCUUGGGCUUAACCUGAGAAGUGCGUGAGAAACGGCGAGACUUGAGUAUCGGAGAGGUGAGUGGAAUUCCCGGUGUAGCGGUGAAAUUCGUAGAUAUCGGGAGGAACACCGGUGGCGAAGGCGGCGAUCUGGGUCGAUACUGACGCUGAGGUGCGAAAGCGUGGGGAGCAAACAGG